AGGGUUCUCAGAAGAGCAUGUAGUCGGAAAAAGUUCUGGAAGUGGACACCCAAAGGACAUUAGAGUGGACAGUUGAGAAGACAGAAGCCAAGAAGGAAGAGGAGGAACCGUAGCAGGCACUGUCGGGGUGUAUCUGGGAGAGUGUCUAGAAGAACAAAGGCAACAGAAAGGAAGAGUGACUUCAGGCCUGCUCAUGGCUGGGGAAAAACACUCCCAGAAGCCAUAUACUGAUGAGUGAAAAACCCAGUGUGAGGGUGGGCUACCUCUAUACAUUUCUGGACACGGAGUCCUCUGAAGCCUCCAAAACCAUAAAUACUGAUGUCAUGUACUAGAUAGGGUUGUUUUUUGUUUUGUUUUUUGUUUUUUGUCAACACAAGCUAAAAUCAUCUGAGAGGAGGGAACCUCAAUUAAAAUGCCUCCAUGACACUGGGCUGUACAAUAGCUUGUUGGGAAUUAACUAGUGAUUAAUGGGGGGAAGGCCCAGCCCA
rnacentral:lncRNA from 1 species